UACAGAGGGUGCGAGCGUUAAUCGGAAUUACUGGGCGUAAAGCGCACGUAGGCGGCUUGGUAUGUCGGGUGUGAAAUCCCCGGGCUCAACCUGGGAACUGCAUCCGAAACUGCCUUGCUAGAGUAUGGGAGAGGGAAGUGGAAUUUCCGGUGUAGCGGUGAAAUGCGUAGAUAUCGGAAGGAACAUCAGUGGCGAAGGCGACUUCCUGGACCAAUACUGACGCUCAGGUGCGAAAGCGUGGGUAGCAAACAGG
rnacentral:rRNA from 1 species